rnacentral:rRNA from 1 species
UACGGAGGAUCCAAGCGUUAUCCGGAAUCAUUGGGUUUAAAGGGUCCGUAGGCGGUCUAAUAAGUCAGUGGUGAAAGCCCAUCGCUUAACGAUGGAACGGCCAUUGAUACUGCUAGACUUGAAUUAUUGGGAAGUAACUAGAAUAUGUAGUGUAGCGGUGAAAUGCUUAGAUAUUACAUGGAAUACCAAUUGCGAAGGCAGGUUACUAUCAAUAUAUUGACGCUGAUGGACGAAAGCGUGGGGAGCGAUCCGG